ensembl:miRNA Mir1967 microRNA 1967
CCUGAAUUCUGUUUCUUUCUCUCUUUGCUCCUUUUGUCUGACAUUCAUGAGGAUCCUGGGGAGAAGAUGCAGAAUUCCCUGG